rnacentral:rRNA from 1 species
GAUGAACGCUGGCGGCGUGCCUAAUACAUGCAAGUCGAACGCUGGAAAUCUAGCUUGCUAGAUUGAAGGAGUGGCGAGCGGGUGAGUAAUACAUAAGCAACCUACCCACGAAGACUGGGAUAAUCUCUGGAAACGGGGACUAAUACCGGAUAGGUAAUCGGAAGGCAUCUUCUGAUUAUUAAAGGUUAAAAACACUGGUGGAUGGGCUUAUGGCGCAUUAGUUAGUUGGUGAGGUAACGGCCCACCAAGACGAUGAUGCGUAGCCGGCCUGAGAGGGUGAACGGCCACAUUGGGACUGAGACACGGCCCAGACUCCUACGGGAGGCAGCAGUAGGGAAUUUUCGGCAAUGGGGGAAACCCUGACCGAGCAACGCCGCGUGAGUGAUGACGGCCUUCGGGGUGUAAAGCUCUGUUGUAAGGGAAGAACGGUAGAUAGAGAAUAUCUAAAUGACGGUACCUUACCAGAAAGCCACGGCUAACUACGUG